rnacentral:lncRNA from 1 species
CCAUUUAUCUGAUAAUUAACUAGAAUUUCUUUAAAGGAGAUUUUACUCGACAUCAUGCAAAAUAAAAUAUUUAAAAGCAUAUAACAGCUUUGAAUAAAACUUAUUCAAGAUCAAAUACUGGAACUGAACUGCUUAAAUUCAUUUAUGAAAACAAAGAGUCCACUCACAGAUAGGUCGUGCUCGCUGGACCUAUUGAAGGUCCCUCCUGCGGGUCAACUGGUGUCCGAGUGCCUGAUUCAAUGACCAUAAUAUUCUAUUAAUACAAUAUAGUAUUAAUUUAAAAACUCUAACCCCCGG